CCCAGCUGUAGGCAACUGCCUAGGUUGUAUUGUACUUAACGAGUGUUACAUGGCUGGGAGAAAGCAGCUAAUAGCUGGCAGGCAUUCUGGGCCUGGUUAACACUAAAUUGGUGUUAACUAUACCAGUGUGCCAGCAUAAU
rnacentral:snoRNA from 1 species